AAAUAUUGGAACUCAAGAAGGAAGAAAGGGAGGGAUGGGGAAAGACAUCAUAGUCAUAAAAGAAGAAAGCAAAAAGUAUAAAUGAAGUAUUCAUGCAUGUGUUAAUUAUGCUGAUGCCAAGAUAACCAAUAUGCUGAUAUUUUCAUUAUAAUUGCUUUGAAUAGGGGAAAAUGUUUAUAUGACCUGUUUAGUGCUCAGAUCACUAUUUUUCAGUAAGUGCUUAUGUCUCAAACCAUGACUACACUGUUAUGCCCUAUAACUUUGUUUUCCAUAUAUUUUAAUAGAUGACUGCUUCCUGUUA